UACGGAGGGUGCAAGCGUUAAUCGGAUUUACUGGGCGUAAAGGGCGCGUAGGCGGAAAAAGAAGUCAGAUGUGAAAUUCCGGGGCUCAACCCCGGAGCUGCAUCCGAAACUCUUUUUCUAGAGGGUAGGCGGAGAAAACGGAACUCCACAAGUAGCGGUGAAAUGCUUAGAUAUGUGGAAGAACACCGGUGGCGAAAGCGGUUUUCUAGCUUAUUCCAGACGCUGAGGCGCGAAAGCAAGGGGAGCAAACAGG
rnacentral:rRNA from 1 species